rnacentral:rRNA from 1 species
UACGUAGGGUGCGAGCGUUAAUCGGGAAUUACUGGGCGUAAAGCGUGCGCAGGCGGUGAUGUAAGACAGGUGUGGAAAUCCCCGGGCUUAACCUGGGAACUGCAUUUGUGACUGCAUCGCUGGAGUGCGGCAGAGGGGGAUGGAAUUCCGCGUGUAGCAGUGAAAUGCGUAGAUAUGCGGAGGAACACCGAUGGCGGAAGGCAAUCCCCUGGGCCUGCACUGACGCUCAUGCACGAAAGCCGUGGGGGAGCAAACAGG